UAAUCAAGCACAAAAAAUUGUGACUUAAGUUACCGAGUUGGCUGCUUCAUUUAGACAAUCCUAAAGUUUACUGAUAUCAUUUUGAAGACGGCCACUGAAGCUGGUGUGCAUAAUAUUUAUGAAUUCUUUGGAACUACAAAUACACCUUUUCGAUAUUGAUAUUCCUGGGAAGAUUACAUUUAUGGAAUCCAAGACCCUUACCGCUGGGGAGACUCCUACCAUUGUGGACACAGAUGUUGGGCGAAUUGGUAUAGGAAUUUGUUAUGACAUUCAAUUCCAGUAAUUGUCCAUGAUAUAUGCCUCAAGAGGUGGCUUUACUUCUCCAUUAAACCAUUAUACAAUUAAUUUCAUUUUCAACAUUGGCUUUUGCUAGGUGAUGAAUACAAUUAUUAUGUCCUAAUUUAUUUGCGAGUUUGGAGAAUUAUUAUCAUGGCCUACUUCUCCUGUGUUGUUUUGAUGAAAUUGGGUGCUCAGUUGCUAUGCUACCCUGGAGCAUUUAACUUGACAACCGGACCAUUGCAUUGGGAAUUGUCGCAGAGAACAAGGGCUGUGGAUAAUCAGAUAUAGUAGCAAAAUUUUCCUCUCUACAAUUGAUCGGUGUAAAGGUUUUCAUAAUCACAUAAUUUUCUUUAUAGAGUAAUCAUGAAAACUAAUGUAAAUCAUAUCAUUUUAUAGUCAAAACGAGCAUGCGGUCGGUAUUUGGUUAGUUUAAUAUGUUGGACUAAGAUGUUCUAGAUAAGUAGUGAAGACAUGGUACUUAAUUUCCUUCUUCUGCUGUAUUAUGCUUCAAGAAACACUUGUUUAUAUAAGCCAUGUUUCGGUGUCACCAUAGAUACUAGAACAUGAAUAUCUGAUUGCGCAAAAGGAGUUCUUUUGUGUUCGUCUGUGUUUCUGUUUCUCUAACAAUUCUAAAUGACAGUUUAUGUUGCAACUUGUUCACCUGCUCGAGAUACUGGAGCCAGUUACAUAGCUUGGGGUCACUCAACCCUUGUAGGUCCUGUGAGUAGAUGCUUCUGUGAUACAUGCGGAAUGCCAGCCUUCCUGAACCUUUAAUGGUUUAAAGUCUUUUGAGCAGACAAGUACAUACUUAAGUUUUUGCGUGUGACAGUUUGGAGAAGUCCUAGCCACGACUGAACAUAACGAGGACAUAAUUGUAGCAGAGAUCGAUUAUUCGAUAAUUGAGCAACGAAUGUGACUUGGCUUCUACAUGAUAUUUGUUCCAUGCAUGGUGUUGCAUGCUUAUGGUUUUAUCCAAUCAUACUUUCUAACAAAUUUUAAUUGGGUGCUUGUAUGAAAUUUAGAACGAAUCUCCCUUUGG